rnacentral:rRNA from 1 species
CAUGGCCUACGGGGGGCAGCAGUAGGGAAUCUUCCACAAUGGGCGAAAGCCUGAUGGAGCAACGCCGCGUGGGUGAAGAAGGUCUUCGGAUCGUAAAACCCUGUUGUUAGAGAAGAAAGUGCGUGAGAGUAACUGUUCACAUUUCGACGGUAUCUAACCAGAAAGCCACGGCUAACUACGUGCCAGCAGCCGCGGUAAUACGUAGGUGGCAAGCGUUAUCCGGAUUUAUUGGGCGUAAAGGGAACGCAGGCGGUCUUUUAAGACUGGUGGGAAAGCCUUCGGCUUAACCGGAGUAGUGAAUUGUG